rnacentral:rRNA from 2 species
UCGCGGCGGCGUGCGCAGAAGGGUCUGGGCUCGAGCCUGCCUGGAGCCGCCGCCGGUGCAGAUCUUGGUGGUAGUAGCAAAUACUCCAGCGAGGCCCUGGAGGACUGAUGUGGAGAAGGGUUUCGUGUGAACAGCCGUUGCACACGAGUCAGUCGAUCCUAAGCCCUAGGAGAAAUCCGACGCCUACGGCGACGGGAUUUUGAAAAAUUUGAAAUCGACCCGUUGAUCGGGCGAAAGGGAAUCCGGUUCCUAUUCCGGAACCCGGCAGCGGAACCGCUGUUUGUCGGGCCCUCACAAGGGGUUCGUCAGGGUAACCUAAAAGGGCCCGGAGACGCCGUCGGGAGCCCCGGAAAGAGUUUUCUUUUCUGCAUGAGCGUUCGAGUUCCCUGGAAUCCUCUCGCAGGGAGAUAGGGUUUGGAACGCGAAGAGCACCGCAGUUGCGGCGGUGCCCGGGAAUUCCCGACGGACCUUGAAAAUCCGGGAGAGGGCCACGUGGAGGUGUCGCGCCGGCUCGUACCCAUAUCCGCAGCAGGUCUCCAAGGUGAAGAGCCUCUAGUCGAUAGAAUAAUGUAGGUAAGGGAAGUCGGCAAAUCGGAUCCGUAACUUCGGG